GGGGCUGCCUGGUAUUGACGGGAAAGUGUAGUCGCUUCGUAAGCAUGCCGGAGCAUGGUUGGUUACUCCGUAAAAAAUAAUGACCGAACAACAACUGGCAACACUCAGUAUGCCAUGGCUGCCUAAUUCUAGCGAAUUAGAAAGCCUUUGCGCCGCGUAAGAGCCUCCGCCAAGCGGACCCUCUUUUUUGCCUUGAUGCCUGCUACACAGGCCGCCGCGCAUCAAAAACAAAGCAGGAUUGCCCGACGGGAUGUCUCGACCGAAGGGUGAAACACAGAGGAUAAGGUGCGGAUGUGUCCGUUUUUGAACCAACCCGCGCUCGAAAACCCAAUCAAAAACUAAGCAUGUAGAAGGCGUUGCGGCGCUUUGUCCGGACGCGGGUUCGACUCCCGCCAGCUCCACAA
rnacentral:tmRNA from 1 species